rnacentral:lncRNA from 1 species
CUUCUGUAGAGCUUAAAGAUUUUUAUCAGACUAAAACUUUGAGAUAUUUGAAAAGUUUAUUUCAACCAAGUUCUGCAAAAUUUGCCUCAUCAUAAAUGUGAUCACAGAGACUUCCUGAGGUCCUGAAACACCUGUGUCCUAUAGCAGCGCUGCUCACACUUGCGUAAUGAGAACAAUUGCCAAGGGAGGUUGCUAGAUGCAUAUUCCUGAACCCCAAUCCAAACCUAGUAACAGAGCCAAGUUCUUCAUUAGCCACAGUAGGUAUGGUGCCUAGGGUU